GGCUCGUUGGUCUAGGGCUAUGAUUCUCCUUUGGGUGUGAGAGGUCCCGGUUCAAAUCCCCGGACAAGCCC